GUGAAUCAUCAAAUUUUUGAACGCAAAUUGCACUCUCCUCGGAGAGUAUGCCUGUUUGAGGGUCAGCCUAUAAAAAAUCGACAUCGUUGCUGUUUCGCGGUGGCGUUCGUCGGAAAUUGGGUCAUCUUAAUCCCUUUGGUUUUAGCGACUUAAAAAUUUCCUUUUGUUUCAUGGACGGUUCUUAGAUCUAUUUCUUUACAAGUUUAAGGUAAUGAUUUUUAAUAGACGUUACC
rnacentral:misc_RNA from 1 species